UCCUCUGUCAGGGAAGGUGUCCAGAUGUC
rnacentral:piRNA from 1 species